GUGCUCGAUUUGGCAGUAUGUAUCCCAAGUUAGAACAAUACAGAGAUUAGCUUGGCCUGUGUGCAAAGAUGACACGCACAUUCAGAAAGCAUUCCAUAUUUAG